rnacentral:rRNA from 1 species
GCUAGCUACAGGCUUAACACAUGCAAGUCGAGGGGUAUCAGGAAGAAAGCUUGCUUUCUUUGCUGGCGACCGGCGCACGGGUGAGUAACACGUAUCCAACCUGCCCUUUACUCGGGGAUAGCCUUUCGAAAGAAAGAUUAAUACCCGAUGGCAUAAUGAUUCCGCAUGGUUUCAUUAUUAAAGGAUUCCGGUAAAGGAUGGGGAUGCGUUCCAUUAGGUUGUUGGUGAGGUAACGGCUCACCAAGCCUUCGAUGGAUAGGGGUUCUGAGAGGAAGGUCCCCCACAUUGGAACUGAGACACGGUCCAAACUCCUACGGGAGGCAGCAGUGAGGAAUAUUGGUCAAUGGGCGCUAGCCUGAACCAGCCAAGUAGCGUGAAGGAUGAAGGCUCUAUGGGUCGUAAACUUCUUUUAUAUAAGAAUAAAGUGCAGUAUGUAUACUGUUUUGUAUGUAUUAUAUGAAUAAGGAUCGGCUAACUCCGUGCCAGCAGCCGCGGUAAUACGGAGGAUCCGAGCGUUAUCCGGAUUUAUUGGGUUUAAAGGGAGCGUAGGUGGACUGGUAAGUCAGUUGUGAAAGUUUGCGGCUCAACCGUAAAAUUGCAGUUGAUACUGUCAGUCUUGAGUACAGUAGAGGUGGGCGGAAUUCGUGGUGUAGCGGUGAAAUGCUUAGAUAUCACGAAGAACUCCGAUUGCGAAGGCAGCUCACUGGACUGCAACUGACACUGAUGCUCGAAAGUGUGGGUAUCAAACAGGAUUAGAUACCCUGGUAGUCCACACAGUAAACGAUGAAUACUCGCUGUUUGCGAUAUACAGUAAGCGGCCAAGCGAAAGCAUUAAGUAUUCCACCUGGGGAGUACGCCGGCAACGGUGAAACUCAAAGGAAUUGACGGGGGCCCGCACAAGCGGAGGAACAUGUGGUUUAAUUCGAUGAUACGCGAGGAACCUUACCCGGGCUUAAAUUGCAGUGGAAUGAUGUGGAAACAUGUCAGUGAGCAAUCACCGCUGUGAAGGUGCUGCAUGGUUGUCGUCAGCUCGUGCCGUGAGGUGUCGGCUUAAGUGCCAUAACGAGCGCAACCCUUAUCUUUAGUUACUAACAGGUUAUGCUGAGGACUCUAGAGAGACUGCCGUCGUAAGAUGUGAGGAAGGUGGGGAUGACGUCAAAUCAGCACGGCCCUUACGUCCGGGGCUACACACGUGUUACAAUGGGGGGUACAGAAGGCAGCUAGCGGGUGACCGUAUGCUAAUCCCAAAAGCCUCUCUCAGUUCGGAUCGAAGUCUGCAACCCGACUUCGUGAAGCUGGAUUCGCUAGUAAUCGCGCAUCAGCCACGGCGCGGUGAAUACGUUCCCGGGCCUUGUACACACCGCCCGUCAAGCCAUGGGAGCCGGGGGUACCUGAAGUACGUAACCGCAAGGAUCGUCCUAGGGUAAAACUGGUGACU